UGGGGAAUAUUGGACAAUGGGGGCAACCCUGAUCCAGCAAUGCCGCGUGUGUGAAGAAGGCCUGCGGGUUGUAAAGCACUUUGGUUGGGGAGGAAAGACGUAUGGUGAAUAGCUAUACGAGUUGACGUUACCCAAAGAACAAGCACCGGCUAACUCUGUGCCAGCAGCCGCGGUAAUACAGAGGGUGCAAGCGUUAAUCGGAAUUACUGGGCGUAAAGGGCGCGUAGGCGGUUAUAUAAGUUGUGUGUGAAAUCUCUGGGCUUAACCUGGGAACUGCACAUGAUACUGUAUGGCUAGAGUAGAGUAGAGGAAAGUGGAAUUUCCGGUGUAGCGGUGAAAUGCGUAGAUAUCGGAAGGAACACCAGUGGCGAAGGCGGCUUUCUGGACUCAUACUGACGCUGAGGCGCGAAAGCGUGGGGAGCAAACAGGAUUAGAUACCCCCGUAGUCC
rnacentral:rRNA from 1 species